rnacentral:rRNA from 1 species
UUCCAGACUCCUACGGGAGGCAGCAGUGGGGAAUAUUGCACAAUGGGGGAAACCCUGAUGCAGCGACGCCGCGUGAGUGAAGAAGUAUUUCGGUAUGUAAAGCUCUAUCAGCAGGGAAGAUAAUGACGGUACCUGAGUAAGAAGCCCCGGCUAACUACGUGCCAGCAGCCGCGGUAAUACGUAGGGGGCAAGCGUUAUCCGGAUUUACUGGGCGUAAAGGGAGCGUAGACGGCAUGGCAAGUCUGAAGUGAAAGCCCGGGGCUCAACCGCGGGACUGCUUUGGAAACUGUUAAGCUGGAGUGCAGGAGAGGUAAGUGGAAUUCCUAGUGUAGCGGUGAAAUGCGUAGAUAUUAGGAGGAACACCAGUGGCGAAGGCGGCUUACUGGACUGUAACUGACGUUGAGGCUCGAAAGCGUGGGGAGCAAACAGGAUUAGAUACCCUAGUA